CUUGGAGGUGAAGGGCUUCUUUCCUGGAUUGACAAGUUCUUUGAGUCCCCGCAGGAAGCCGGGAUUUCGCUUCUCAGGCUCCCAGGGUGAGCAGCUGGCAGGGGCCUCUGUGUGAGUGGGUGUGGGUGCCCCAUCCUCUGAACGGGCAGACAUUUAAAAAUGUUUGCAAAAGCAAAUUCUGGAAAGAAGACCAAGACUUCCUUGUGUAAAUAGUUGGAUGCUCACCCUCUCCGCACACAGGACCAUCUUGAGGGGGGCAUCCCAUGUAAGCAAAAUGUGGAAAAGCCAGUGACCAUCAACAAAACAAAACAUCAAAGCCAACUAAUAAAGGGAGAAAGACAAUAUUUGGGAGAACGAGGAGCACAAUGGAUGUUUGGGGAUGUGAAGAGAGAAGAAAUGGAGAAGGAAGCCUACCUCUCUCCCUUUCUGGGGCAUCAGUGUCUUCUCUGGUCUUUUAAGCAAGUGAAAGGAUGUUGUCCAACCAAAGUACCAUUUACAAAUACAAUAUUCUCUUUAUGGCAACGCUCUAAAUGCCGGCCCCAGUGUUUUGAUCCUCAAAUGGAAGUGUGACCGUUGUGCGAG
rnacentral:lncRNA from 1 species